rnacentral:lncRNA from 1 species
UACCAAAAUAUCAUUAGUCUCUAGUACUGACAAAUUUCUUCAUGAUCUCUAGUAGGAUUAAUUAGUUUCUUAAAAGUAUGGCUUCUUUUUUUCUACCACCUUUUUUUUUUUUAAAAAACCCUUCCAUUCUGUUUUAAUAUGAAUUCUGGCACUCUAUUUGCUUUGCUACCUAACUGUCCCAAGGUCUGACUUCUUGAAGGGAGAUUUUGCUUUUAGAAGCUGCCAAGAUUAUUUUGAGGCCAGACAACUCUACAUAGCAUAUAUGGCACCUUCUUUAAAAAGAAAUAAUAAGAAGGAUUUCAUCUGCUCACCCAAGCACACUUAGAGACAAAUCAGCCAACUCACUUAAGACAAAAUUGUAAAAGCAGGAGCAGUUUUUUUGUUUGUUUGUUUUGUUCUUUUGGAUUCAACACAAAAAGUUCAUCCAGAAUAGAGCACGGAGAUGAUCCAUCUUGUGGAAAGCAGUUGAAGGCCACAGAUUCAGAAGCAAGCCAAGUGGGGAGCUGUAUGAGCACAGGAAUGUCUGAAUGUGGUGACGGAUCUGUGCUAAUUCAUCCACACACUCACCCAAUCCUUCCCCUGAUCAUGCAUGCAUCAGAGUUGACUUUCUAGAAUUAGACGUUGGUCUGGUCCCUUGGAACAGGGAACAAAGCUAAUGGACCCAAAUGGGAAUCAAAUAUACAACCUGACUUCCUUUGUCUAAACAUCCAUGAAUUCUGACUCAGAGGCUAUGGAAGAAUAUGUAAACCUCUUUCUGCCUUGCCUCUGUAACUGAUAAAGUGCCUUCUUUCAUCAUGGGUCUUCUUUUCUUCUUAAGACCUUCUUUGACAUUCUGUUCCAAUUCAAAAGGAACUUCAUAAUUAAUUUUUCCAAGAAAGCAGCUAUGUUGGAGUAUUACACAGUAAAGCAUCAUUGUUAAUAGGAUACUGGUGAGUGGGUUUUUAUUAUAAUUUUAUUUAUGUAGAAUUUCUAUACACAUAAAUGAUUGAGUAUUCUUUUUCUCAAUGAGUAGAAUAACAAACACAAGAACCUCUUUCAGACAUUGAAAAAAAGCCAUUUCUUUCAGGUAUUUCAAAUUAUGUUCUAGUAUAUCACCACAUGGUAUAAUGACAGUUUUCAUUACUACAAAAAAGUUUUGUAGACUGGUGUGAAAAAAAGGUGUGUGUGAGUUCUCUAAUGCAAGAAAUAAUACAGCCAUAGCCAGAUGGUUAAGAGGAUAGAAUGCUGGGUCCAGACUCAGAAAGACCUGGGGUCAAAUCUAGCUUCAGACUCUUAAUGUGUGACCCUAAGCAAGCCACUUUCCCUUCUAUGUGCUUCAGUUUUCUCAUCUAUAGAAUGAAGUUAAUGAUAGUACCAUGUCGUUGAGAGGAUAAAAUGAG